UUACUGCCAGGUGCUUUUCUUUCUGGGGGGUGGGGGUGCACCCACGGCAUAUGGAAGUUCCCAGGCUAGGGGUGGAAUAGGAGCUGUAGCCAUCGGCCUACACCACAGCCACAGCAAUGCCAGAUCCAAGCUACAUCUGCAGCCUACACCACAGCUCACAGCAACGCCAGAUCCUUAACUCACGGAGCGAGGCCAGGGAUCGAACCUGCGUCCGCACGGAUACUAGUCAAAUUCAUUUCUGCUGAGCCAUGACAGGAACUCCCCAGAUGUACUGGCGCCGAGUAUUUGGAAAACCAGGGCAUCAGUCUCUCCGCUUGGGGCCUGUGGCAGAAUCACGUGGCCUUGGCGUGCAUGAUGGUCAUUUUCCUGACGAUCGCCUACCUGAAACUGCUACUCCUCAAAAAAUACUCCUAAAUUCCCCUCUAGGUUACACCACUUACCCCCCAUUAAAGAGAAAGCAUUCUGGUUUCCAUGUCGAGUGACGUCGUUUUGUCCGUCUUCAUUUCCCUUUGCCACCAGACUGCUGUUCAGCAAGGAUUAUUGUCCGUGGGGACGUUUAUAGACAUCGGGGUGAACCGGGUUACGUAUGCGAGAAGCCCGGUCCUGAGCUGUAGUGGUACUGUGCCCGACACACUCGCCUGGUCCGCCAGUAACCACCACGGGGAAGAAAGCCAGUUUAAUGAUUGACCUGAGAAGAACUGGGUUCUGUAGAAGUGUGACAGGUUACUCAUAGCUCUGGCGUUGGUUUCCUUAACCUUUCAAAGGAUGAGUAAGUUGCCCUCCAUCUUCAGUGUUCGUUAUUAUAUGACUCUGCCAGUAUCUACUAAAUAACAUGUACACUGGUGCCGUAGGAGAGUGAAAUCCAAGCCGUGGUGAAAAAGCCCAGUGUUGUUUAUGGAGUGAAAAAGCCAUUGUGCUAGAAAAAGCUUUUCAAAAGUUUUUUUUAGCUUUUAUUUUUAUUGAUGAUGGAUUUUUGCUUUUUAGGGCCGCACCUGUGUCAUAUGGAGGUUCCCAGGCUAGGGGGUGGAAUCGGAGCUACAGCUGUCAGCCUACAACACAGCUCACGGCAACUCUGGUUUCCUGACUAAGCGAGGCCAGGGAUUGAACCCACAUCCUCGUGGACCCUAGUCGGAUUCAUUUCCAUUGCGCCACAAUUGGAACUCCAUGAUAGCGAAACCUUUGAUGAGCUGUUCUGAGGUCAUUAGAACUCCCUGAGGUUUCCCUUAGUAGAAUUACAAGAUCUAGGGGUCUCCCUGGGGGUUUGGAGCACAGGUGUCGACGGCCGGAAACCUGGCGACUUACCUUCUGUCCAAGUUCCGUGGUUUGGAUCUCAGUGUGCGUUGCCAUCUCCUGUGGAAUUUUUCUCCAGUACAGACCCCUGGGCUCCACGAGCCCCACUGCAGCAGUAUGUCCAGGGCUACCUGGCCAGAGCACUGUCCACAGCAGGAUUGGGUCAUUUCCUAGAUCCUUCGCAGCUCUGCA
rnacentral:lncRNA from 1 species